CCCGGCCGCUCCCUCCUUCCCCUCCGCCCUGCCCGGGGCUGCUCCCUGUGUCCCCAGGGCCGGACACAGCCCCGCUCCCGGUCAGACACAGCCCCUCUCCGGUCCGUACAGUCUCUCUCCGGUCAGACACAGCCCCUCUCCGGUCCGUACACAGCCCCUCUCCGGCCCGUACAGCCCCUCUCCGGUCCGUACACAGCCCCUCUCCGGCCCGUACAGUCUCUCUCCGGUCCGUACAGUCUCUCUCCGGUCCGUACAGUCCCUCUCCGGCCCGUACAGCCCCUCUCCGGCCCGUACAGUCCCUCUCCGGCCCGUACAGCCCCUCUCCGGUCCGUACAGCCCCUCUCCGGUCCGUACAGCCCCCCUCCGGUCCGUCUGUGUCCCGCAGCGCUCCCCUCCUGUGCCCGGCACGGCUGCUCCGAGCAGGGAGCUGGGGAUAGCUACAGGGCACCGAGCAGAGAUGGACAGGAGGAACAGGUGCUGCCAGGGAGAGCCCCACUGCACUCUGCCAUUGCCUGCCUGCCGCCUCACCAGAGCUGCUGCUGCUGCUGCCACAGGUGCAGGUGCUCCAGGGAUACAAUUUGCAGGCGGUUUGGCUUUGUAAAUACCAGAUGAAGCAUCAAUGGCACAGAAGUGCUGCUCAGAUACCACUGCCUUUUUAUGGUCCUCUUUUGCCAUUAGUGAAUGGGUUUCAAUGUUUAAUAGGGUCAGGAUAUUAAUUAGCAGCUUCUGUGGUACAUCAUGCAGCACACAGACUGAAGGACAAUAAUGGUGUUUGUAGUGGUUAAAACCUAACAGAAAUCAAAUCUGACAAAAAUCUCAUCUGCCAUUUUGUCUGCAGCCACAACAAUAAGAGAGGAAAUUCCUUCGGAGUCCACACACGCAGGAGAAUUCAAAUCAUUUGAGCAGGACUUCCCCUCAGCUGCAGGAUUUUCUCCUUUAGCCUAUGCCUUAGGAGGUGAGGCUAGGAUGCUCUGCCCAGGAGGGACACUCACAGCUCAGCACCGUAGCUGCCUGCCCUGAAGCCAGAGCUCUAAUUACCCACAUCAUUAUCUCAGCCUGCCCUGCUGGAAAUGUUAUCCUGGAGUAUGGGGAUUUUCUAGGAGCACUCCUUCCGGUGUAAGACAAUGUAAUUAUUAUUGCCACCAGAGAAGGGAAUGACUAAUAAGGACAUUCAGAGAGCAUUUUGUUCAUCCUUUGCUCUGCAGCUUCAAAGACAACUUUAAAAUGCAUAAUUAAACAUUUCAAGUGCUAAAACUGCCUUGGCUCUUUUAGUUAAUUUCUUUCCAAUAUUAAGACAUAAAGUGGACAAUAAUUUCCCAGCAGGCAAACAGCUCCACCCUUAAUUAGCUAAUGGAUCUUACAUCUGCCCACUCUCAUGUUUUUCUUUUGCUGUGCAUUUUUACCUGGUGCUCAUUUUUUCCCCCUGCUGAUUCCAGUGAUACCGCCCAGAGGAGGUGACUGGUCCUUGUUUUUCUCACCCCAGCCCCUCUGUGCAGAGUAGCUCCUCACAGCUACAGAAGAAUGCUGGGUUUGGAUGACUAUCUGCUCGAGAGAUUAGUUUGAUUAGGCAAGAGAUUUGAAUGUGCAGGCAUGUUCAUCACUCAGCACAGGUUUAUCCAGCUGUUUUGUAGAGCAUGAGAUGUUGAUUUCAAGUCUUUCUGGGCCUGCAGAGGGAAAAGCUGGACAUAGCAUUGGUGAUUAUGGCAAUUUCUCCCAUGUUACCUUGACCAAACAUUCUUGGUAUGAUGCCACAAGUUGACACUGUUAUGUUACACAGUGUUCCUUAUGUAAAAUAUUUUACUGACAACAGUUCCACAUAGUGCAGAGUUGUUUUCUUUGGGGUUUUAUUGUGUUUGUUUGGUUUUUUUGUUGCUUUUUUUCCCUGUAAGGAUGACUGAACCAUGGAGAAAUCCUAUGUAAUAUAUCCAUUAGGCUGUCAGAGCAUGACCAUGGUGUCCUGUCCCUUCCCAGCUCACCAAUGUUCAUACCAUCAGUGAACACCCAGGAGCUUUCCCAGCACAGCUGUGCUGUAGGUGGUAGCAGGGAAAAGGCUACAUCUGCUCUCCCACCCCAUGGGUUUCAGCAUCCCUGCCUCUAUCAGUAGGAAAGAAUGAUUCCAGCUCAUUCCUGCUUCCUGUAGUCAAUUUGUCCCUGUGGCAGUCCCUGUAGCAUCAAUGCCAACUUCUGAAAACAUAAACCUAUGAUGCAGCCAGGCCCCUAAUUCUCAAUGAAUUGUUUCCUAGCAUUAAUUUUAAAAUAUGAUGGUCUCUUCUGUUAAACUAAAUAUAUCUGCAUUAGGUUCUCUCUUUAGUAAAAUGCCUUAAAAUGAGUUAUUGUAAAUAAAACAAUUUGGAAAGUUAAAAAAAAAUAAAUU
ensembl:lncRNA